rnacentral:sRNA from 1 species
GCCUGCCACUGAGGAGGAGAGAGUAACAGAUUAGCUGCUUGAGGGCCUGUCUCCCAUUCCCACACUCUCACUUCUGCUCCAGCAGCUCACUGGCAUAGAGCUUAAACCAGGGCUUCUCCACUUGUAGUACAAUGGAUGUCUUUGCAGUUUUGUAUUGUGCUUUUGAUGCAGAGGAAACCUGUACCAUUUAAACUGAUCAGACAUCAUUGUAAGGAGGGGGCUCUGGGCAGGCAUAGUGGAGGAGGAGACCCUUAUAUUUGAUUUUCUAAAACAUAGAAAUCAGAAGGUGAGAGGAAAAACAAAGAGCUAGUGUGGGUGUUGUUCCAAGGUGCCAGAAUAUUCCUUCUAGAGCAGCACAGUUGAUUUCCCCACUAAUAGGUGCUAAGAGGGCAUAGGUCUUCCUUUGCUUUGUUUCUACCACACCACCUUAGACGCCAUUUUCUAUACAUGUUAGAGAUCAACAAUUUGACAUAGAAGGAGAGGACACGGGAUGUGGGAGUAAGAAAAAAAAACAGCUUGCAAUAUACUAACUGUAUUUUAACUCCUUUUAUUAUUUUUUUUUAAAGGAAGAAAGACACCAGUGUACUUACAGCAGUACUGAGUUGGAUGCUGGAGUGUGGGGCUAGAGAGGUCACAGAAGUGAUAGAAAUCUGCUGGUGGAGACAGGAGUGACUUGAAGAACUCAGACCAAAUGCAGGACGUCCACUACCAUCUCCAGCUAACCACAGGCCAGACCAUGAAGAUACUGGUCUUCUCAGUGGUUCUUUCCAUGCUGGGUUCUUGAGCAGAAAAAAAAUGUAGGUCAGACCUGAAUCCUAUGGGAUCUUGGAGUCUGGCCAUUGCCCUUGCCAAAGGCCUGGGUUACCCCAGCCAAUUUUGGGGCAAAGGACAAAAGACCAGCUUAUGAACAUUGGAAGCAGGAAAACAAACCAUCAGACCAAGCUAGAUGAUGGAUCUAAUGUCACAUCCUGCAGAGAGUCACCCAUGGCUUCUCCAGGUGGAGAUCAGUGCAUCAACUCAAAAGGACUUUAUGCUGGAUGAAUGCAGCAUCUCACUCUUCGAGAACUUAACACGUAACCAAGAGGAUAUAUUCAUGUACCUAUCUGCCCUCCAAAGGACCCCUGGAAGGCAGGGGUGAAGUUCACAUCUUUAUAUGCCUUUUCACCAUUGCCAAGCUCUACAGUGGAAGGCAACCUUUUGUGUUUCAAUAAUAAAAUGAAAAAACAAAGCCAGAUGUCCUCCUAGAUUCCAGCAUUGCCCACCUUGUGAGAAGAAAAACAAUAUUUAUCUUAUUAAUUCGUCUGAAGAUCUGGCUUCAAGAGUCCUUAGGUUACCCAGUUGCUAUGGAAAUGCCAGAUGUGACACCGACUGCCACCUCAGCACAGUGAGAAACACCCAGUCACAGACAGCCUCACACAGCUAAUCUAUGUGCAUCUUCAUGGAAAACGUCCUAGUUUAUCUGUUCAUUGUCUCAAAACAAUCGGAACAUUAAAAGGGACAAGAAAGGUGGGCAGACGAACCCAAGCCCCCUGAACUGUGACAUUUAUUAUCCUGAAACCAAGCCAAAUUAUAUGAGAGGUUAGAGAGAAAGGUGCAGACUUGUCCCCUUGAGUCAGUCCUCCAUGGUCCUCGCACACCAGCAGAGGAGAGUGCAGCCUCAACCCCGCAAACCCUUCAUGGUGCUCCCUGGAGAAACUGUGGUGAAAUUUUCCUAAAAUUAAUUUUCAUUCACUGUGAUUAAUGCAUCAUUCAGAGGGCUUAGGGGAUACGGCGGAGGCUGCAGGUGCAAACAAACUGGAGUCAUGUGUUGCUUUCUGACGCUUCAGAUCAGGGCACUAGGUACUUUAGGAUCGCACAAAGCACAGAAGCAAGACCUUUCCCCGAUGCAAUCCCAGCUUGCCCACUGUCUGGCUGGUGACUAUGAGUUUAAGUGAUCGCUACCUGAAUCCACCGUUUCUGAGAGACGAGGCUGCAUCAGAAUCACUUGGGAAGCGUGUUUGGUGUCUUUGUGCUGGCUGCAACCCAAAGACUCCAACUCCAUGAAGACCCACUUAAAGCAAAAUUGGCUCAGACCUACUUUGUAACGUGUUGGACCAGAUACUCAUUAACAAACCUUCUGCCUCCUACAUUACUUUGAGACUUUUAUGUACACAAAGAUAAAAAUAAGCACUGAGAAUUAAAAUUUAUUGAGGACUCAUUGUGUGCCAAUCCCUGUCACAAACUUUGAAUUCUGGGUUCAAGAACCAAUUCUCCCACUUGGCUGGGUGAGAGAUACUGGGCAAGUUGCUCUAAGCUCCCACCUCAUCGUCUAUAUCCAUAUUGUCCUACUAGUGUUUCUGCUGUGGUUGCACCCCCUCCUCUGUGCUGUGUGUAUG